rnacentral:misc_RNA from 1 species
UCUCCGUUGGUGAACCAGCGGAGGGAUCAUUACAGGAUCGAGAGACUCCUAUAACCCCUGUGAACUUACUACAAAUACGUUGCUUCGGCGGGUGCCCCGGGUCUCCCGGGGCGUUCAGCCCGCCGGCAGCCUUCAAAUUCUGUUUCUUUGCGUUGGCAUCUCGAGUAUACAAAAAUAAGUUAAAACUUUCAACAACGGAUCUCUUGGUUCUG